GACGAACGCUGGCGGCGUGCUUAACACAUGCAAGUCGAACGGAAAGGCCUCUUUCGGGGGGUACUCGAGUGGCGAACGGGCGAGUAACACGUGAGUAACCUGCCCUUGACUUUGGGAUAACUUCAGGAAACUGGGGCUAAUACCGGAUAGGAGCUCCUGCUGCAUGGUGGGGGUUGGAAAGUUUCGGCGGUUGGGGAUGGACUCGCGGCUUAUCAGCUUGUUGGUGGGGGAGUGGCUUACCAAGGCUUUGACGGGUAGCCGGCCUGAGAGGGUGACCGGCCACCUUGGGACUGAGGUACGGCCCAGACUCCUACGGGAGGCAGCAGUGGGGAAUAUUGCACAAUGGGUGGAAGCCUGAUGCAGCAGCGCCGUGUGCGGGAUGACGGCCUUCGGGUUGUAAACCGCUUUCGCUCAUGACGAAGCUUUGUGUGACGGUAGUGGGUAAAGAAGCACCGGCUAACUACGU
rnacentral:rRNA from 1 species